CAAACUGGAGAUGGCGACCGGCGCACGGGUGAGUAACACGUAUCCAACCUGCCGAUAACUCGGGGAUAGCCUUUCGAAAGAAAGAUUAAUACCCGAUGGCAUAAUAGAACCGCAUGGUCGAUUAUUAAAGAAUUUCGGUUAUCGAUGGGGAUGCGUUCCAUUAGGCAGUUGGUGGGGUAACGGCCCACCAAACCUUCGAUGGAUAGGGGUUCUGAGAGGAAGGUCCCCCACCAUUGGAACUGAGACACGGUCCAAACUCCUACGGGAGGCAGCAUG
rnacentral:rRNA from 1 species